rnacentral:ncRNA from 1 species
UACUUUUGCACGGUCUUAUAAUAGCUGUAAGACAUACAUAACAAUCAUUUAAAUAAUAUUAGCAUG